rnacentral:rRNA from 1 species
AUCUACAGCCCUACCACCCUGAAGGUACCUGAUCUUGUCUGAUCUUGGAAGCUAAGCAGGGUCAGGCCUGGUUAGUACUUGGAUGGGAGACCUCCUGGGAAUACCAGGUGCUGUAGUAG